AUUAAAAUGCAACAGGAAAUCCUUGAGCUCCUCUCCCCUUUCCUCGCUGUACUCAUCUUGACUCUUCCAGGAAUCUGUCUCUGGUCCCAUGCUGUUUCAAAGAACUGGCUCUCCCCACUGGUGCCUGCCCUACCUUGGCACUUUGUUCUCCCCUCUGCUCUUCAGAAGGUUUUGGUUGUUCCUCUUGAAGUGUGAGCUGUUCACGGAAGUUAUGUUAUUCAGGCAACACAAAAGAUGAGCUUUUAUAUCAGUUUGGAGGAAAUUGUCAUAGAGUACAUGUGUUUACAUUAUAGAUUAAAGAGAGUAAACAACUCUUUUGCAACUGAGCAAAUCUCAAAGCACCGAGCUUUUGCAACUCGGUGCUAUGGCAUCGCUAUGGAGGUUGACCAGCAGAGCGUACUCUCUGCAAUUUCCUCUCAUGUACUUUUCAUAAUGAUAUAUUAAUUAAAAUAUAUUAAUUAAAAGUAAAUAGAUUUAUGAUCAAUAGUCAGUCUGUCUGUAGGUCAUAGAAAAAUUAAUGGGAGGCCCUUCCAAGAGUUGCUGUAUCAUUUGUGUGCUUGAACAGAGAAAUGAGAAGUACAAAAUUGUCCUAAACUUGAUCAGGGCCCAUGGCUUCUACAAUUACAUACGGCUCUAAUAGAAACUGCAGCUAUUAUUGGGCUCUCAGGUAAUACAACAGAGCGAUUUGAGCAGGAUUCUUUAUUCCCAACCCUCCCAAAAGCUCUGGGUGAGCCCAGUUUAGCCAGGUGUUAAAUAUGAUUAACUGCAGUGGCUUUGGGUGGCUUAAGGUUUUAUUUCCUACACCUAGUUUCUCACAGCGCCACAAUAUAUGAGGCAAUCCAAAGAUAAUGCAGCUAUUGAUUUUUUUUUUUUUAAUGACACAAGUGCAUAGAAUGGAAUACACCAGUAUCGAUUUCAUGCUAAAUUUCUGGAAGUCACAGCUGACUCUCAUACACCUUAAGUCUGCGAGUUAAACAACAGAUUAUCUUCCUCCCAAACCCCAUCUCCAGCAGGACUUCCUUCGAGGAACAGCAAAGCUUUUGUAUAAAUUCAGCUCUCGCAAGGUUGGGUUUGUUAAGCUCUUCUGGGGCACAAGUUUGUCUGUACUGAUUGAAUGGAGUAAAUUAAACUUCAUGCAAAUGGCUACAAGGUAUUUAUGUCUUUCAGGGACACUCCUUGGACAAGCUGCUGAGAGUUCCUGCAUUUUCUGCGUAAAUGUCUCAGCAGUGACAGAUAAGCAUCUCACAGAGGUAAAGGACAGUCUCAGGGGCUGCAGUCCCUGCUACUGCACAGGCCACACGUUGAUCUACUUGAACUCAGAGAAAUGCAUCUCAAACGUCCUGUGCCAGGAGCUGAGAUCAUCUGUUUCGAAAAAAAAGGGAUAUACCACUCCCUUGUUUUCUAUCAACAAACGGGGUGGUGCAAAGUGCCCUCUACUAUGCAAGAGAGUGCACAGGCAGUGCCAUCCCCUGCAGGCCACCUACCCAGAACACCAAAUGCUCCACUUGUUUCAAGCUACUGGAUGGGAAGUAUGGAGUCAAGAUUUGUCAAACAUUUUCCAACACAGGGUUUAUGUCAAGCUUUCUUUGUAUCUUGAAUUUUAACAGGAAAAGCUAGAUCUUUGCUGCAGGGGUAGUUUAUCUUCAGGGUCCUUCUCAUGUGUUUCUGAUUCCUGAGCUGGGAAGCUGUGUACACUCUCCAUCAAACUCUCUGUUUACGCAAGGUUAUUCUAAAGGAAAAAACAGGAAAGGGUAGUGGCAAUCCCAUUAACUCCAGGGCAGGCAAAGCAAUUCUGGAUUAAAUAACUAUUAUGGUUCUUAGCAUGCAGUCCCAGAAGUUGCCUCUCCUGUGGGAUAUACCCUGAUACAAUAUACCAUCAUUACCAGGGUAUCACCUCAUGCCACCACUUUUUGGUACCUACCUGUCAAAAUGCUUUUAUUCUGGUAAACUGAACCUUGGCGAGAAAUAGCAGAUGGAUUCCUGUCCUCAUGUAUGAUUUUUGUAAUGUCUCACCUAAAAAAAAUUGCUGCUCUAUCUAAAUUACUUAAAUCAAGAAAAAAAGCUUCUUGCUUGCAUAUGCUGGGUGCCAAGCAGGCACUUUCUUUUUUCUCUUAAUUAGAGUGGGGCUUUCAGAAUGACUUAAGCUCUAAAUCCUCUGACUGAGAAAGAUAUCCGAGUUUGCUCUUUUCACGAGGAAAUUGUCCCAUGGAAUAAAAUGAUUGCAUUUGGAUUUGUUAUGAGAUUAAAAGAAGGAACCUCCUACCAGGAACAGAGCGCUGCAAAUUGUUUGAAUUCCUAAGAUGUAUGGAGUGCCUAGGUGGGGCUUCUAUCAAGUAUUAAGCCAUUUCUGAAGUCUCUAACUCUGAUGCUGCCCUUGGGAAGACCGUCACACAGUUCACACUCUGUUAGGGACUUGGGUUGAGUAUGGUGCUACUUGCCCACUAUGUGGCCACAGGCACUGACAAGGGCUUCAGUAUGAAUUACUUGCCUUUAAGAAUUGUUUCUCCAGGUCUGUUGUGUGUGUGUAUAGCUUUACAGCUCAUUUCCUUCUGCAGGAAGAUAAGUCCUGAGGAGUACAUGAUUCAUGGAAGCUGAAAGGGAAGAACAGACCCUGAUGAAACUACGUACAUAUGUGGGUGGCAUGGUGCUAAACUGCACCUGGAGAUUACAAUUCGGGCAAUAAUCCUGCAGCUGUAAAACUGAUAACCUGCAAUACAACCACAGAGUACACCCUCAAAGUGAAUGUACAGAUAGAAGAAUCAGAGCAGCUGAGUCUCUAUGCAUACAAUGGAGUAAGAACAACACAGAAACUGGUGAUAAGCCAAAGUCUGUUUGCUGGACUUUUUAAAAAAGUGAGUGCUACAAGAUGUGUAUGACCCGUAUCGCGACCACGCUAGGAAGAGCAGCGGCCGUGUCACAGCACCGCUCUCCCUCCCUCAGCCCGUUUGCUGCAGCCCGCAGAAUGUGCCCAGCGCUGCUCGCCGCGUGGCACAGCGCGGACGGGGUGCCAAGCAGCUGCUCUCCAGCGAGCGUGGCGGCUGUGCCAGACGGACGACGAUGACGUUCUCCAUCUUUAUGGAGCUGAGGCAGAAUCCUGCCGUGUGCCCCAACUUCCAGACGAGACAAAUGUGCCCGUCUUCUAACCGUCAACUGAUAAAACCUCUGCAGGAGGUACCCUCGUUCCUACCGCCCUCUGAGCUGGCCUAAUCUUAGCUGAUGCUGAGCUGAUGCUGUGCUUUACGUGUUCAUUUACAUUUUCAGCAGAAGGUUUCAGAAACUGGAAGUAAGGCUAUGCCAUGAGAGAAGGAAUGGGAGCACAGAUAACAUUUUGCUUUUCACGUAUCUUGCUUAGAAUCAGCCAAACUCCCAUUUUUGGUACAGUGAUCAGAGGGAGUCCCAUUUUGUGUUAUUAUUAAACAGACACAAACCUCUCAAGGGUAAAACAAGUGAAAAUGAAUUUCUAAAUAAAAAGGAAUGCAUUUUAUUUAUCUGUUUCUAUGAGAAUUCAUAAGGUCAUUUCAGAUUCUAACAAAACAUAUGUUUAAGAUGCAAUGGCAUGCUUGCUACAUGAAAUGUUUAAUGUAAAUUCUCCUUUGCAGGAUUGGCAAAUACCACAGGAUGAUCAAAAGAAGAGGGGUUGGGAGUUAAUGAGGGGAAUGAGAAGAGCUCGGCUGGUUUAGUCCAGCAAAAUAAAAGGCUGUGAGGGGAUGAGAUUGCUGUCUAUAAAUACUUUUGGCAGGGAACACACACAGGAGAGAGGGAAAGGCUACUUUAGGGCAGUAUUUGCAUGGGAAGAAAAGAUGGAUGUAGGCUGGUCACACGGAAACACAGGCUUGGAAUUUAAAAAAAGGCUUCCACCUGGCAGAGAGGUUUCUAUCGGGCAGGCUCCCAGGAGCAGCAGUGAGGGGCAAAAUACUGACUGCCAAAGCAUAAUCGAUUUAUGGAAGAAAGGAUAAAACUAUUUGCAGCGCUAGGGAGCCGGGUACAGUACAGGUUAGAGGGGAAUUAAGCUGCCUUGGCUUACAAAUGUCAGCCCAGCUGACCUUCUGUACCUGGGUGUGCUGUCAGCCCUCUUAACCAGGGCUGCAGACAUGCAGCGAAUUAUAGCAAGAAGCAGGCUUUCAUUGCAUGGUGUAAUGGAAAGAGAAGAAAACAAAUGUCACUGAUGAAAAUGGGAAAUAAUAAUUAUUACUUUGAGGGCAACGGGAACUCAUAGAGUUUGUUAUUACUGACAGCAAGGUAUUCCUUAAUCCUUGUGACUUUAAGUCUGGAUUAAUGCACCUAGGUAGCACAACCUCCUGCAGCAGCUACACGCUUGUCCUUGUGAGUCUGUGUCCCUUU